rnacentral:rRNA from 1 species
AGCAGCCGCGGUAAUUCCAGCUCCAAUAGCGUAUAUUAAAGUUGUUGCAGUUAAAAAGCUCGUAGUUGAAUUUCGGGAUCAGUAGGUCGGUCAUGCCUCAGGUAUGUACUGGUCUCACUGGUUCCUCCUUCCUGAUGAACCGUAAUGCCAUUAAUUUGGUGUUGCGGGGAAACUGGACUGUUACUUUGAAAAAAUUAGAGUGUUUAAAGCAGGCUAACGCUUGAAUACAUUAGCAUGGAAUAAUGAAAUAGGACGUUCGAUCCUAUUUUGUUGGUUUCUAGGAUUGACGUGAUGAUUAAUAGGGAUAGUUGGGGGCAUUAGUAUUCAAUUGUCAGAGGUGAAAUUCUUGGAUUUAUUGAAGACUAACUACUGCGAAAGCAUUUGCCAAGGAUGUUUUCAUUAAUCAAGAACGAAAGUUAGGGAUCGAAGACGAUCAGAUACCGUCGUAGUCUUAACCAUAAACUAUNCCGACUAGGGAUCGGAUGAUGUUAUUUUCUAAUGUACUCAUUCGGCUACCG